ACCUGCGGAAGGAUCAUUACCGAGUUUUCGAGCUCCGGCUCGACUCUCCCACCCUUUGUGAACGUACCUCUGUUGCUUUGGCGGCUCCGGCCGCCAAAGGACCUUCAAACUCCAGUCAGUAAACGCAGACGUCUGAUAAACAAGUUAAUAAACUAAAACUUUCAACAACGGAUCUCUUGGUUCUGGCAUCGAUGAAGAACGCAGCGAAAUGCGAUAAGUAAUGUGAAUUGCAGAAUUCAGUGAAUCAUCGAAUCUUUGAACGCACAUUGCGCCCCUUGGUAUUCCGGGGGGCAUGCCUGUUCGAGCGUCAUUACAACCCUCAAGCUCUGCUUGGAAUUGGGCACCGUCCUCACUGCGGACGCGCCUCAAAGACCUCGGCGGUGGCUGUUCAGCCCUCAAGCGUAGUAGAAUACACCUCGCUUUGGAGCGGUUGGCGUCGCCCGCCGGACGAACCUUCUGAACUUUUCUCAAGGUUGACCUCGGAUCAGGUAGGGAUACCCGCUGAACUUAAGCAUAUCAAUAG
rnacentral:rRNA from 1 species